rnacentral:rRNA from 1 species
GGGAUUGCCCUAGUAACGGCGAGUGAAGCGGCAACAGCUCAAAUUUGAAAUCUGGCCCUAGGCCCGAGUUGUAAUUUGCAGAGGAUGCUUUUGGUGAGGUGCUUACCGAGUCCCCUGGAAUGGGGCGCCACAGAGGGUGAGAGCCCCGUAUGGUUUGCCACCGAGCCUUUGUAAAGCUCCUUCGACGAGUCGAGUAGUUUGGGAAUGCUGCUCUAAAUGGGAGGUAAAUUUCUUCUAAAGCUAAAUACCGGCCAGAGACCGAUAGCGCACAAGUAGAGUGAUCGAAAGAUGAAAAGCACUUUGAAAAGAGGGUUAAAUAGCACGUGAAAUUGUUGAAAGGGAAGCGCUUGUGACCAGACUUGUGCCGGGCGGAUCAUCCAGCGUUCUCGCUGGUGCACUCUGCCCGGCUCAGGCCAGCAUCGGUUUUCGCCGGGGGACAAAAGCCUCGGGAACGUAGCUCCCUUCGGGGAGUGUUAUAGCCCGUUGCAUAAUACCCCGGCGGGGACCGAGGACCGCGCUUCGGCAAGGAUGCUGGCGUAAUGGUCAUCAGCGACCCGUCUUGAAACACGGACCGAGGAGUCAAGCAUUAGUGCGAGUGUUUGGGUGUAAAACCCGCACGCGUAAUGAAAGUGAACGUAGGUGAGAGCUUCGGCGCAUCAUCGACCGAUCCUGAUGUUUUCGGAUGGAUUUGAGUAGGAGCAUUAACGCUUGGACCCGAAAGAUGGUGAACUAUACUUGAAUAGGGUGAAGCCAGAGGAAACUCUGGUGGAGGCUCGCAGCGGUUCUGACGUGCAAAUCGAUCGUCAAAUUUG